rnacentral:rRNA from 1 species
CAGCCGCCGCGGUAAUACCGGCGGCCCGAGUGGCGGUCACUAUUAUUGGGCUUAAAGCGUCCGUAGCCGGGUUGGGAAGUCCUCCGGGAAAUCUGGCCGCUUAACGGUCAGAAUGCCGGAGGAUACUCCCAGCCUAGGGAGCGGGAGAGGCCGAGGGGAUUCCCGGGGUAGGGGUGAAAUCCUAUAAUCCCGGGAGGACCACCUGUGGCGAAGGCGCUCGGCUGGAACGCGUCCGACGGUGAGGGACGAAGGCCAGGGGAGCAAACCGGAUUAGAUACCCGGGUAGUCCUGGCUGUAAACGAUGCGGACUUUGUGUCGGACAAGCUAUGAGCUUGUCCGGUGCCGGAGGGAAACCGUUAAGUCCGCCGCCUGGGGAGUACGGCCGCAAGGUUGAAACUUAAAGGAAUUGGCGGG